rnacentral:rRNA from 1 species
AUACGUAGGUGGCAAGCGUUAUCCGGAUUUACUGGGCGUAAAGGGCGUGUAGGCGGUCUUGCAAGUCAGAAGUGAAAUUCCUGAGCUCAACUCGGGCGCUGCUUCUGAAACUGCAGGACUUGAGUGCUGGAGGGGAUAGCGGAAUUCCUAGUGGAGCGGUAAAAUGCACAGAUAUUAGAAAGAAAACCGGGGGCGAAGGCGACUGGUGGGCCUCUAACAGACGCUGAUGAACGAAAGCGUGGGUAGCAAACAGGAUUAGAUACCCUGGUAGUCCACGCCGUAAACGAUGAGUGCUAGGGUUCGGGAGUCGAAUCUCGGUGCCGUAGUUAACGCAAUAAGCACACCGCCUGGGGAGUACGUGCGCAAGCAUGAAACUCAAAUGAAUUGGCGGGG